AAGUCGUAACAAGGUUUCCGUAGGUGAACCUGCGGAAGGAUCAUUACUGAGUUAUGGCCGUCGAGAGUAAUCUCGGGCCGCAUCUCCUUCCCUCUUACCGACUCGCGUUGCUUUGGCGGGCCGUCGGUCCCCGCCGGUGGCCUCUGGGUCACCGUGUGCCCGCCGGAGACCCCCAAAAUCCACAUUGAAGUCAGAGUGAAAGUUAAAUCAUGAAAACCCUCAACAACGGAUCUCUUGGUUCUG
rnacentral:misc_RNA from 1 species